rnacentral:rRNA from 1 species
UACGGAGGGUGCAAGCGUUAUCCGGAUUCACUGGGUUUAAAGGGUGUGUAGGCGGGUAUUUAAGUCAGGGGUGAAAUCUCCGGGCUCAACCCGGAAACUGCCAUUGAUACUAUUUAUCUUGAAUAUUGUUGAGGUAGGCGGAAUACAUCAUGUAGCGGUGAAAUGCUUAGAUAUGAUGUAGAACACCGAUUGCGAAGGCAGCUUACUAAACAAUCAUUGACGCUGAGGCACGAAAGCGUGGGGAUCAAACAGG